rnacentral:rRNA from 1 species
AGAGUUUGAUCAUGGCUCAGGAUUAACGCUGGCGGCGUGCAUAACACAUGCAAGUCGAACGAUGAAACUUAGUAGACUUCUUCGGAAAGACACUAAGCGGAUUAGUGGCGAACGGGUGAGUAACGCGUGAGUAACCUGCCUUACACAAGGGGAUAGCCUUUGGAAACGAAGAAUAAUACCCUAUAAAACCAUAAAAGCACAUGCUAGAAUGGUCAAAGUGAUAGCGGUGUAAGAUGGACUUGCGUCUGAUUAGCUAGUUGGUGAGAUAAAAGCUCACCAAGGCAACGAUCAGUAGCCGGCUUGAGAGAGUGUACGGCCACAUUGGGACUGAGACACGGCCCAGACUCCUACGGGAGGCAGC